rnacentral:lncRNA from 1 species
GUAGAAGGAAGGUCUAACAUCCCUUGAAGCCUAAGAAAUAAGGACUAAAACUAUAAGCAUAACCAUGUUGCUGAAAUUCAAACCUUGAUUUAACCUACAGAUUGCUGACAUUGUAGUACAGUUUCAUUAGCUUCAUGCAAUUAAUUGUUUCUGCAUUGCACAUGGCUCUGUAGGGCCAAUGCUUCAACACCUUCAUGUGACAAUUAUGCAACUCUUCCAUCCUUCAAUGCAUUUUCUACUUCUUCACAAUUUUCC